CCUACGGGUGGCAGCAGUCGAGAAUCAUUCACAAUGGGGGAAACCCUGAUGGUGCGACGCCGCGUGGGGGAAUGAAGGUCUUCGGAUUGUAAACUCCUGUCAUGUGGGAGCAAAUUAAAAAGAUAGUACCCCAAGAGGCAGAGACGGCUAACUCUGUGCCAGCAGCCGCGGUAAUACAGAGGUCUCAAGCGUUGUUCGGAAUCACUGGGCGUAAAGCGUGCGUAGGCUGUUUCGUAAGUCGUGUGUGAAAGGCGCGGGCUCAACCCGCGGACGGCAUAUGAUACUGCGAGACUAGAGUAAUGGAGGGGGAACCGGAAUUCUCGGUGUAGCAGUGAAAUGCGUAGAUAUCGAGAGGAACACUCGUGGCGAAGGCGGGUUCCUGGACAGUAACUGACGCUGAGGCACGAAGGCCAGGGGAGCGAAAGGGAUUAGAUACCCCAGUAGUC
rnacentral:rRNA from 1 species